rnacentral:ribozyme from 1 species
AAGAGAGCACCAUCGGUGCUGCUUUCCUCACACAGACAGUCUGCCUGUCGGACACGACGGUCAAGUUCGAGAUUUGGGACACGGCGGGACAAGAACGAUACCACAGUCUGGCGCCGAUGUACUACCGUGGAGCACAGG